AGAACGAACGCUGGCGGCAUGCCUAAUACAUGCAAGUCGAACGGGAUCUUCGGAUCUAGUGGCGCACGGGUGCGUAACGCGUGGGAAUCUACCCUUGGGUUCGGAAUAACAGUUGGAAACGACUGCUAAUACCGGAUGAUGACGAAAGUCCAAAGAUUUAUCGCCCAGGGAUGAGCCCGCGUAGGAUUAGCUAGUUGGUGAGGUAAAGGCUCACCAAGGCUACGAUCCUUAGCUGGUCUGAGAGGAUGAUCAGCCACACUGGGACUGAGACACGGCCCAGACUCCUACGGGAGGCAGCAGUAGGGAAUAUUGGACAAUGGGGGCAACCCUGAUCCAGCAAUGCCGCGUGAGUGAUGAAGGCCUUAGGUUGUAAAGCUCUUUACCCGAGAUGAUAAUGACAGUAUCGGAGAAUAAGCUCCGGCUAACUCCGUGCCAGCAGCCGC
rnacentral:rRNA from 1 species